rnacentral:rRNA from 1 species
UGGGGAAUAUUGCACAAUGGGCGAAAGCCUGAUGCAGCAACGCCGCGUGAGUGAUGAAGGCCUUCGGGUUGUAAAGCUCUGUCUUUUGGGACGAUAAUGACGGUACCAAAGGAGGAAGCCACGGCUAACUACGUGCCAGCAGCCGCGGUAAUACGUAGGUGGCAAGCGUUGUCCGGAUUUACUGGGCGUAAAGGAUGCGUAGGCGGAUUUUUAAGUGAGAUGUGAAAUACCCGGGCUUAACUUGGGUGCUGCAUUUCAAACUGGGAAUCUAGAGUGCGGGAGAGGAGAAUGGAAUUCCUAGUGUAGCGGUGAAAUGCGUAGAGAUUAGGAAGAACACCAGUGGCGAAGGCGAUUCUCUGGACCGUAACUGACGCUGAGGCAUGAAAGCGUGGGUAGCAAACAGGAUUAGAUACCCUGGUAGUCCACGCCGUAAACGAUGAGUACUAGGUGUAGGAGGUAUCGACCCCUUCUGUGCCGCAGUUAACACAAUCAAGUACUCCGCCUGGGAAGUACGAUCGCAAGAUUAAAACUCAAAUGAA